ACUGGCCCGGUAGUAUUGAGGGGCGCAUGUGACGGGCCGAAUGCCGUGUACCACCGUGCGUGCAGUGACCCGAACUGUGAAGCGGUGAACUCCAAAGCGAAUUAUAACCUUUAAGUUAAACAUUUUAUUUUACUUUUUAGUCCCUUUGAACUUAGAAAGCGAUGCAAGAAGUAGAAAACACAGCAGCCAACAAUACAAUGUCAACGCCCAGGCCUCAGUGGUUCUUGUUCUGCCGUCGAAAAGAUCGGACAUCACAGCGGGCGCACCUCUGGCUCUCCGUCAGUUCCCGUCGUUGCCACCGAUGGCGCCACCUGUCGACCCUCGUCGGUGUCGACGGAAGGCGGCCCGCGCGCUGCUCCGGCGGCCCGUCGGCGUCGCCGCUGGCUGCGUCGGCCUCGUCGACGUCGACGGGCGGCGCGGGGCGUCUCAAGGCGGCAGUCGCAGCGGUGCGCCGACCGACGUCGCACGGACGACGGAGCGGCCUCCACAGCUGUGUCAGCCGGCCUGUCACAGCGAACCGCGAGGUCAGGUCAGGUCAGGAGCUGCCGUAGAGGAACUCGAGGUCAGGUCGCGUCACCGCAGGAGACUGUUCGGAUAGACGUGGGAGGGUCAGCGACCAUGGCGGCACCAGGAUGGAGUCUGGAUACUCUGUCUGGCCUGGAGCUGGCGAAGCUCAGGACGAGUCUGAUGCUGUCUCAGCUCGGCAGCUCCCAGCUCUCUCAGCUAAAGACCAGUCUGCCGUCCUUCAUCCCUAGUCCGCCAGAACCCGUACAGGUAAUGUCGCUGUUGUGAUGUUUGAUGUAAUAAGUUUCAUGUUUUGCGUGUUAUUCUAGGUUUCGUGAAUAAAGAAACCACACCGCGA
rnacentral:misc_RNA from 1 species